GAUACGGGACUCAUCCGAGGCCCCGUAAUCGGAAUGAGCACACUUUAAAUCCUUUAACGAGUAUCCAUUGGAGGGCAAGUCUGGUGCCAGCAGCCGCGGUAAUUCCAGCUCCAAUAGCGUAUAUUAAAGUUGUUGCGGUUAAAAAGCUCGUAGUUGGACUUGUGUCCCACGCUGUCGGUUCACCGCCCGUCGGUGUCUAACUGGCAUGGUUCGUGGGACGUCCUGCCGGUGGUGGCGAGUCGAAGGAGCGCGCCCGUCGUGGUUCACGCCGCGAUCGAGGUUGCGGUCUGUAGACGGACCCCGAUGAAAUCCUACCGCGGUGCUCUUCACCGAGUGUCGAGGUGGGCCGGCACGUUUACUUUGAACAAAUUAGAGUGCUUAAAGCAGGCCUGUUGCGCCUGAAUACUGUGUGCAUGGAAUAAUGGAAUAGGACCUCGGUUCUAUUUUGUUGGUUUUCGGAACCCGAGGUAAUGAUUAAUAGGGACAGUCGGGGGCAUUCGUAUUGCGACGUUAGAGGUGAAAUUCUUGGAUCGUCGCAAGACGGACCGAAGCGAAAGCAUUUGCCAAGUAUGUUUUCAUUAAUCAAGAACGAAAGUUAGAGGUUCGAAGGCGAUCAGAUACCGCCCUAGUUCUAACCAUAAACGAUGCCAGCUAGCGAUCCGCCGAAGUUCCUCCGAUGACUCGGCGGGCAGCUCCCGGGAAACCAAAGCUUUUGGGUUCCGGGGGAAGUAUGGUUGCAAAGCUGAAACUUAAAGGAAUUGACGGAAGGGCACCACCAGGAGUGGAGCCUGCGGCUUAAUUUGACUCAACACGGGAAACCUCACCAGGCCCGGACACUGG
rnacentral:rRNA from 1 species